rnacentral:piRNA from 1 species
UGGAAACUACCUCCAAAUACAAAGCAGCUGG